rnacentral:rRNA from 1 species
AUGAAUGUUGAUGGUUCUUACUGGAAGCAUGAGCAGUACCCCAAAACCACAUGGGUUGCUACAAAGGGACCUUCAGUGGAUCCAUCUACCUUAUCUGGCUUCACUUGUGCUCACCCUAUUAUCAUUGAUGAAUCCUUUGAUGCAAACUAUAAACUGUUUAGGAAUCAGAAUGGUGAAGUGUUUGCCAGGUAUAUUGGUACUAACUGCAGGAAUGGACCACCUUUGAAGAAGAUCUGGGUACCCAAGAGUUGUCUUGAGAAUCUUCCUGUCAAUGUCAUCAUGAUACCACCUGGGAAGAAGACAAACCCCAGACCAAAGGCUUCAUAUGGUCCAAAGGCUUCAUACAGACAGAGGACUCACCAGAGUCACCCUAACGCCAAUGUUUUGCAGGGAAACCAUACUCAGACUUAUGAAUAUGAGUGUGUUUCGUCAAACCGCUAUGUUCAUAAGACCAAGAACUUUUUUGCUUAA